rnacentral:rRNA from 1 species
GACGAACGCUGGCGGCGUGCUUAACACAUGCAAGUCGAGCGGUAAGGCCCUUUCGGGGGUACGACGAGCGGCGAACGGGUGAGUAACACGUGGGUGACCUGCCUUUAGCUCUGGGAUAAGCCUGGGAAACCGGGGUCUAAUACCGGAUAUGACUCCGCGGCGCAUGUUGUGGGGUGGAAAGCCUUGUGCGGCUGGAGAUGGGCCCGCGGCCUAUCAGCUUGUUGGUGGGGUGANGGCCUACCAAGGCGACGACGGGUAGCCGGCCUGAGAGGGCGACCGGCCACACUGGGACUGAGACACGGCCCAGACUCCUACGGGAGGCAGCAGUGGGGAAUCUUGCGCAAUGGGCGAAAGCCUGACGCAGCGACGCCGCGUGAGGGAUGACGGCCU